rfam:Oryctolagus cuniculus unplaced genomic scaffold chrTn0049, whole genome shotgun sequence.
GGGGAAUUAGCUCAGGUGGUAGAGCGCUCGCUUAGCAUGCGAGAGGUGGUGGGAUCGAUGCCCACAUUCUCCA